rnacentral:tRNA from 2 species
GCCGGAGUGGCGGAAUUGGUAGACGCAGGGGACUCAAAAUCCCCCGGUCCUUGUGGCCUUGUGAGUUCGAGUCUCACCUUCGGCACCA